UGGGGAAUUUUUCGCAAUGGGCGCAAGCCUGACGAAGCAACGCCGCGUGGGGGAUGAAGGUCUUCGGAUUGUAAACCCCUGUCGACCGGGACGAAGGUACCCGACCUAACACGUCGGAGUAUUGACUGUACCGGUGGAGGAAGCCACGGCUAACUCUGUGCCAGCAGCCGCGGUAAUACAGAGGUGGCAAGCGUUGUUCGGAAUUACUGGGCGUAAAGGGCGCGUAGGCGGCCCGAUAAGUCCCGCGUGAAAUCCCCCGGCUCAACCGGGGAACUGCGCGGGAAACUGUCGAGCUUGAGUUCGGGAGAGGGAAGCGGAAUUCCGGGUGUAGCGGUGAAAUGCGCAGAUAUCCGGAGGAACACCGGUGGCGAAGGCGGCUUCCUGGACCGACACUGACGCUGAGGCGCGAAAGCUAGGGGAGCAAACGGG
rnacentral:rRNA from 1 species